GUGAACGCUGGCGGUAGGCCUAACACCUGCAAGUCGAACGGCAGCACAGUAAGAGCUUGCUCUUACGGGUGGCGAGUGGCGGACGGGUGAGGAAUACAUCGGAAUCUACUUUUUCGUGGGGGAUGACGUAGGGAAACUUACGCUAAUACCGCAUACGACCUACGGGUGAAAGCAGGGGAUCUUCGGACCUUGCGCGAUUGAAUGAGCCGAUGUCGGAUUAGCUAGUUGGCGGGGUAAAGGCCCACCAAGGCGACGAUCCGUAGCUGGUCUGAGAGGAUGAUCAGCCACACUGGAACUGAGACACGGUCCAGACUCCUACGGGAGGCAGCAGUGGGGAAUAUUGGACAAUGGGCGCAAGCCUGAUCCAGCCAUACCGCGUGGGUGAAGAAGGCCUUCGGGUUGUAAAGCCCUUUUGUUGGGAAAGAAAAGCAGCAGGUUAAUACCCCGCUGUUCUGACGGUACCCAAAGAAUAAGCACCGGCUAACUUCGUG
rnacentral:rRNA from 1 species